AGUUGCCCAAUGGAUGUGAGCAACUGUCUCUAUGAUCCGGCGGAAGAGAUCAGUCUUCCCGAGUUUCACCGGAAGUACCCAAAGAGCUUGCCCAUGCUUGUGGUGGUGCUGGGUGGUUAUGAUGGAACCACCGAGUAUGACGAUACCCCCAGUGACACUAUCAUCCGGUACAACAACUAUCAAAGCGUUAGAAGAGGACUGGCACUGGAUCCCAAAACAAGGAGGAAUUACAUCAGUAUCCCCCUCAACUCCAAGUACAAGUUUAAUGUGAUCAAAUCCGUCGCCACCAAAAAAGGUGCGAUAUCUUAUACGCAUGCAUUGUCAACAUUGUAGCAUUACAUGUUUUUUUUUUUAAUGUCCCAUCGAAAACUUUGUAUCUUUUUUAAAUUCCUUCCGCGAUGUCGUCGACCUGGUUCUUAUUCGAUUUAUUGCGUACAUGUCUACAUUAAAUAUUUCACCCAUUUUUCUGGGAAAUUUUAAAAACGUGGCUUUAAAAAUAUAUACAAAAGAUUUGUAUUAUUUUAUUAAAUGUAUCUACAGAUACAAAAGUGUUAUUAUGAUAUCACUGUAAAGUAACGAAGAACAAAAAUGCCCUGUGCAUUUUUAAAUACGUCAUUUUUAUUCGUACAUUCACUGUAUACAUUGUACUUGAACUUAAAUGCGUAUACUCGCCCCACCCCCUAAUCAUAAGUGACACUAAAGCAUAAGAUAACACUUCUUUACACAUCAGAUUACGUGGCCUUCGUUAUAACUGCACACUUGAAUAAUUUUAAUUAACUAAAAACCGUGAUUUCAGAAGACCACACUUUGGCCCACAUCUUGGAGAAUAACCCGCUGCCCGUUCUGAUCCAGUUCUCCGAAUCCAAGGACAUUCCCACUGAGGGCAGAAACAAGGAAGGCAAGCCUUACCAGUUUCUGAUCACGCACGUGUAUGAAGAAGUAUUCAUACAGGGAAACUUCAUAACGGACGGGAAGAUCAUGAAGCAGGCGUCCAGCUUCAGUUUGUGUCCUAUCAUCAGUGUAGCCCCGGUCAAGGGCUUCACAGACCGCACUCAGAAGAAGUUUGACGAGUAUCUACAGAAGCUAAAGCAAUACGUCCACAAAAACACAGUCUUCUCAGAAAACCAAUGCGACUUAUCAAUCAAAGAGCUAGCGCCCGACGCAGCAGAAAUAAUUGACGUUUUAAAUCCAAAAGAUAGUAAGUCGACUGCAGCUUCUACCACACCCCCUCCGCCACCUGUCCGGGGCAAGUCGCUCAAAAAACCGAGGGAUUCCGAAGAAGACGACGACGGGGAGGCAUACGAAGUGAUGGAGAAUCCGGAAGGUGAAAUUGACACAUACCGCGUGGCCGAUAACCCGCCAAGUUACGUCAAUGAUAGACUCUGUUGGGUUAAGCCACUGUCUAGUGAACCCAGCGCCGAAAUAGCAGGCGACAGCAAACAUAGGGAUAGUGGGGAGUUAUACGAACCGAUGGAAGACCCAGGCGAUUACCUUGAACCACAGAAACAUAUAGAGAGCAAACCCGUUCCGGUAAAACCUGAAGAUAGCAAACCCGUUCCAACGUCACGUCUUCCGCCCAAACCAAAGAAAAAGCCAGAAAAGCGCCAGCCUUACGAAAACUCCCACCCAUUAAGCGACGAAAAGGAACCACCGGUGCUUCCACCUCCACCUCCACCGAACAAGGAAAGCGAGGGGUCGGGAGAGGUCAAAUGUACAGAAUCGAAGACUCCAUGCUCGUUUUGUAUUGAGGAGAAGAGUAUACAAGACAUUGUGCACGUACUCAGUCUUUUGCGCUUGAACAAAUACGCUGAAAGAUUUCAAGAGGAAAUGGUGGACGGGGAGAUACUAGCGGGACUAAGUGUUGAAGACUUACAAAGUGAGUUUGGUUUCUCAAAACUGGAGGCUUUGCGUCUCUAUAGAUACAUUGAGAAAGGGCAUGUACCAAAGUAAAUACCAGUGAUAUUUGACAGCAGUGAACACUAUGGUUUAAGGGUAUGUUUAUGCUAUAAGCACCCAUACUUUAUGUAGACUGCUUCAGUGUUGUUCAUUUCAGGUGCCAAAUUGUAUUUUAGGUUAAGAAGCGUUUAGCGGGUCUUGCAAGUUUCCUGUCUAGUGCCGCCAAUAAAUAUAAAGAGGAAUUGUCAAUCAGUCACAGAAAAUGUCCUUUACUUUACUAUAUGAAAAUCUGCUUUGUGCAUAAUUAUAUAUGUAACAUGUAAAAUCAAGAUGUUGAUUAUUGACAGUAUUUUUAGGUCCAAUAAAAGAUCUAAGGAAUAAGUACCAUCUGAAUAAGAGAGAAAACAUCACAAUAUUAGAAUAUCUGGUAUCUGUUCUAUCGGGUUUCAAUAAAUAAGUUGUAACAAUUAGUAGUGGAUGAGCCAACUAGAUUACUAAGUUAAUUUAUAAGACACAUCGGUUUAUAAAAGCAACGUCCUACGGACUGCUCUACAAGGUUAGAUGUAACUGACUAGUUAGUGCUUGUAGUGAUUUAGCUUUCUAGUGUACAACGAUGUAGUAUCGUACGGAGACCGUGGUGUUCAUACACAAUACAGUUACAUGGUUACAUAGUUCUGUAGUACUUAAUGUUAUAUUAUACAUAUGUGUGUAUUGUUAAUUUAUUUUGAAUUUUAUAUUUUUGAUGUUUACAAUGUAUGUGUUGUAAAUUUUGUUAUUGCUGAGUUUAGAGCAACAUUAAAACAAAUGAGGUCCCGCUAGCUUGU
rnacentral:misc_RNA from 1 species